GUGAUAGUUAUCAUUCUCUUUAUAGCAUAUUGCUUCCCAGAUUAUAUUCCAGAAACAGUGGGGAAUUUAUUGCAUCUUUUGUGGUUUGUAUUGAUUGCAUUGGUGUUAUAUUUAUUGUACCAUUUUGUUCCUGAAAUAGCAAGUAACCCUUUAACAGCAAUAUGGACUACUUUUAGAAGUAUAUUCAGGAAUAAUUGAUAACUUUUUAAGAUUUAUAAUAAUUAUUGAUUUUGACUGUGAAACAAUAUUUUUGAUUUAUUUCAAUAUGAAACUACUUUUAA